CACUGGAACAGUCCCUCUUUCUUGCACUGGCUCCCCAGUGUUGGGGCAAAGGGCCUGAGGCUACAGUCCUCCCUCUCACAGGAGCGGCUGCUGAGGCCCGGGGGCUGGGUGUGGACACAAGCCUGCUGCCAACUUCCUAGUCUGUGCUACUUUGAUUAGAAAAUUCUGAGAUCGUUCACGUUUAUUACACGUGGGACCCAAAAACGACCACGAAAGACUGCGUUGGGAGGGAGUGAGAGAAGAGAUUUCAACAAUGGAACAUAGAAUUGUGAAAAUGUAUAUCAGACCCAGAUUCUGCUCACCUAGAGCCACGCCUUCUGUUCUUCAAGGUGCCCUAGAGUGCCUCUUAAGUCUUCAUACAGCAAGACUUUAGAUACGUGAUUUAGAAAUGGAUUAACCCAACAAAGGGUGUUACCCAGUGCAUGCCUGUGGCUGUCUGAAACACAA
rnacentral:lncRNA from 1 species